UACAAUAUGCAAAUGAUGGGAACCUAGAUUCCUGUUGUUGUUAUUCUUGUUGCUAAUGUGACUGUUAUAGUUGUUGUUUGCGGUCUGUCUCCAGCGUUAGCAGGUCAAGAGCUUUUCACAGCCAGUUCUCGAUAAAAUUUAGCAUUGAGAUGUCAAUCAGCUGACAAAUGCUAAACCAAAUUCGAAACAGAGCUGAGUAAAUGCUGAAAAAGUACGUGUGCGUGUCUGUGUGUGUGUGUGUGUGUGUGUGUGUGUUUGUGCUUAUGGGCAGUGUUAAUAUAAAACGCAAUCAAAAUCAAAUCAAAUGAAAAUUAUUUCGAGUUGAGUUGUAUGUUGACAACUUCAUUAUGUUUGCAUUGCUUUGGCGUAUUCUCUGUGUUUGUCCGGCAAUAUGACUAACAAGCGGACACACACACACACACACACCCAUCCAAAUACCAACACCAACACCAAGGCAUAUACCAAAACGGGACGCACAUUAAAAGCAACCAGACGAGCCGCAAAUGGAACUAAUUUGAUGUGUGAAUAACAGCAAUGAAAAGAGGCAGCUUUUACUAUGAUGAUGGGGGGAAGGGACGGUGACAUGGUGGCAGCAGAGGGGUGCGAGGCAUAUAUAUGCGUGUAUUGAUGUGGUAUAUCGGUAUGCCUUAAAUAACAGCAGGACGAGAGCAAACGUUGUGAAGCCAGAAUACAAGCACAAUGUCAAUGUGAGUGAGCAGAGGGCAGCAGGCGAGACAAAUCGAAUGAUAAGCCAAGCUUGCUGGCAUGGCUGUAGGUAUAGAUGAAGGCAGACAGCUUGAUGCCAGCCGAAUAUCAUAGGAAAUUCGAUAAACUCGAAAAUCUGUAGCACAAUGUCCUCUGUCCUCUGUCCUCUCCUAUUUGAUGCAGUGCCACAUCGACCAUACAAUAAGGCCAAUUCAUAAGCACCAACAGCAACAGCAAGAACAACAACAAUAAUAAGAGCACAAUGCUGGUUGCUUGUGUAGUGAUUAAAGGCCACAACGGCUGAUUUUAAAUCCGGUGUCCAAUAAAACAAAAUGAAUUGUGUGAGUGCAUAAAGAAUGAGCGAACAGAUUGAAUUGAGCACAAUUGCGAAAGUGCUUAUGCGUUUUGCAUUCAAUUGCUGCUGAAUGGCUCUUGGCUGAAUGGCUAAAAUACAAAGUAAUUGAUGUGUUUACAUAAAUGUUAAUUACGACCUGCCAAUGAAUAUAAGAAUCAAAUGAAUUGUAAACGCAUAGAAAUGAAUAACAAAUGAAACAAUUACUUUUUCUCAUAGAUUUUAAACCAAAAUAUUUCAAGCGAAGAGCUUACGAACUGAGAAUUUAAUUAUUUCUUCAAAUAUCCGCUAAGAAUAACAAAUGAAUCAGUUGUCUAAUAGAAUAAAAUAAAGAUAAAA